AUUUUAAACAUGUCAGUAAAUAUUGACACUGUCAGUCCCAGGCCUGAUAAAAAUGUGAGAGAAAA
rnacentral:ribozyme from 2 species